GAUGAACGCUGGCGGCGUGCCUAAUACAUGCAAGUCGAGCGAACAGACGAGGAGCUUGCUCCUCUGACGUUAGCGGCGGACGGGUGAGUAACACGUGGAUAACCUACCUAUAAGACUGGGAUAACUUCGGGAAACCGGAGCUAAUACCGGAUAAUAUAUUGAACCGCAUGGUUCAAUAGUGAAGGACGGUUUUGCUGGCACUUAUAGAUGGAUCCGCGCCGCAUUAGCUAGUUGGUAAGGUAACGGCUUACCAAGGCGACGAUGCGUAGCCGACCUGAGAGGGUGAUCGGCCACAUUGGAGCUGAGACACGGUCCAGAGUCCUACGGGAGGCAGCAGUAGGGAAUCUUCCGCAGUGGGCGAAAGCAUGACGGAGCAACGCCGCGUGAGUGAUGAAGGUCUUCGGAUCGUAAAACUCUGUUAUUAGGGAAGAACAAAUGUGUAAGUAACUAUGCACGUCUUGACGGUACCUAAUCAGAAAGCCACGGCUAACUACGUG
rnacentral:rRNA from 1 species